AGCAGCCGCGGUAAUUCCAGCUCCAAUAGCGUAUAUUAAAGUUGUUGCAGUUAAAAAGCUCGUAGUUGAAUUUCGGGACCAAUCUGCCGGUCGUGCCUCCAGUACGCACUGGUUUUAUUAGUCUCUCCCUUCUGACGAACCAUGAUGUCAUUAAUUUGGUGUCAUGGGGAAUCAGGACUGUUACUUUGAAAAAAUUAGAGUGUUUAUAGCAGGCUCACGCUUGAAUACAUUAGCAUGGAAUAAUGAAAUAGGACGUUUGAUUCUAUUUUGUUGGUUUCUAGGAUCGACGUAAUGAUUAAUAGGGAUAGUUGGGGGCAUUAGUAUUCAAUUGUCAGAGGUGAAAUUCUUGGAUUUAUUGAAGACUAACUACUGCGAAAGCAUUUGCCAAGGAUGUUUUCAUUAAUCAAGAACGAAAGUUAGGGGAUCGAAGACGAUCAGAUACCGUCGUAGUCUUAACCAUAAACUAUGCCGACUAGGGAUCGGAUGAUGUUAAUUUUUUAAUGACUCAUUCGGCGCCUUA
rnacentral:rRNA from 1 species